CCUACGGGGGUCAGCAGUGGGGAAUAUUGGGCAAUGGGCGCAAGCCUGACCCAGCAACGCCGCGUGAAGGAAGAAGGCCCUCGGGUUGUAAACUUCUUUUGUCAGGGACGAAGAAAGUGACGGUACCUGACGAAUAAGCCACGGCUAACUACGUGCCAGCCGCCGCGGUAAUACGUAGGGUGCGAGCGUUAAUCGGACUUACUGGGCGUAAGGGGUGCGCAGGGGGUUGAGUAAGACAGAUGUGAAAUCCCGGAGCGAAAAUCGGGAAUGGCAUAUGUGACUGCUCGACUAGAGUGUGUCAGAGGGAGGGGGAAUUCCACGUGUUGCAGUGAAAUGGGUAGAGAUGUGGAAGAACACAGAGGGCGAAGGCAGCCUCCUGGGACAUAACUGACGCUCAGGAACGAAAGCGUGGGGAGCAAACAGGAUUAGAUACCCGUAGUC
rnacentral:rRNA from 1 species